rnacentral:rRNA from 1 species
UUUCAACUUGAGAGUUUGAUCCUGGCUCAGAACGAACGCUGGCGGCAGGCCUAACACAUGCAAGUCGAGCGCACCUUCGGGUGAGCGGCGG